AGAGAUGUGUGAUGACGCAUAUCAAUAAGCGGAGGAAAAGAAACUAACAAGGAUUCCCUUAGUAACGGCGAGUGAAGCGGGAAGAGCUCAAAUUUGAAAUCUUCAAGGUUCUACCUUGACGAAUUGUAGUUUAUAGAAGUGUUUUCUGUUAGUAGAGUGGCAAAAGUUCUUUGGAAUAGGACAUCAUAGAGGGUGAGAAUCCCGUAUUUGGUCAUUCUUUCUAGCUUUGUGAUGCACUUUCAACGAGUCGGAUUGUUUGGGAAUGCAGUCCAAAAUGGGUGGUAAAUUUCAUCUAAAGCUAAAUACUGGCGAGAGACCGAUAGCGAACAAGUACCGUGAGGGAAAGAUGAAAAGAACUUUGAAAAGAGAGUUAAACAGUACGUGAAAUUGUCAAAAGGGAAGCGUUUGACACCAGUGUUGUUUUUCCGAAAAUCAAUUACGAAUGUUUUAGUUUUUAAGGAGUUAUGACUUCAUCGGCUUGCUCCUUUCUUUAUGAAACUUUCUUAACUGCACUUUUCGGUUAACAAGUCAACAUCAAUUUCUUUUGUUGUAAAAGGGUAUGAGGAAGGUGGCUUUCUUUUCGGAGAAAGUGUUUAUAGCCUUGUACCUCUGCAAUCGGAGAGAUUGAGGUCUGCAGCGUAGAUCCUUCGGGGUUAGAUACAUUUGUGCUAAGUUAUAGCUUUUCAUAGACAACUUGUUGAUUAUGUUAAGUCUUGUAGCUUACUCGCUUAUGCUAUUUUACCUACGCUUAGGAUGUUGACGAUCAGCUGAGCGCG
rnacentral:rRNA from 1 species